rnacentral:rRNA from 1 species
UACGUAGGGUGCAAGCGUUGUCCGGAAUUAUUGGGCGUAAAGAGCUCGUAGGCGGUUCGUCGCGUCGGCUGUGAAAACCUGAGGCUCAACCUCAGGCCUGCAGUCGAUACGGGCGGACUUGAGUACUGCAGGGGAGACUGGAAUUCCUGGUGUAGCGGUGAAAUGCGCAGAUAUCAGGAGGAACACCGGUGGCGAAGGCAGCUCGCUGGGACGUUACUGACACUGAGGCGCGAAAGCGUGGGGAGCGAACAGG